ACCGUUUUGCGGACGGUACAUCUCACCGUCGGUUGCGAGAAACUCUCUACACCGUCCAUCGAAUUUGACCAAAUUCGUACAGCCAACAAGACAGCCCCAUACCUCCUCUUUGAACAUCCGUCCGGCAGCCCAUACCUUCCACUAUUCCACCGUACCAUGAUUACGUCGGCCGUCCCGUCAACAUUCUUAAUAGCAAUAAAAAAACCAAUGUCGAUAAUCCUUGCUGACAUUGCAAUCCGCAACCUCUUAAUAUUUCCCCAAAUAACAUUCUCAUCUACUUCAUUCACUUCUUACGCCUUCUUUAUCAACGCAUUGGGCAAAAAUUUCUUCCGGCCGACGGCGAUUUCAGGUUCCGCUGGUGCUGCGCGUCGACAAAUCACUCUGAGUUUUGACAGAACUAGUGGGUAUGUUGUUUACAUUUGAUCUACCUAAUUCAAAAUGUGUCAUUUAAUCCAUAUGUUCCCAGCGAAUCCACAUUACCGAAAAAAUCGCAUGUCAUACUACAUGCCAUUCGUCGAUUAACAAAUGAUUUUAGGUAUUUCUAAAUCCCUAAUAUCAAGUUCAGGAUUUCUAAAAAUCCAAAAAAAUUUUAGGCAUCGUAAAUAGCAUCAAUCAAAAUCCCCAUAUGUUUAUGAACAAAUGGAAUAGAUUUUCAUUUUUGAAUACAAACAUUGUUACCUUAGAUUUCUCUUCUACAUGUCUUUCCAUACUGAUUUUCUCACUACAAAAAAUCAGCGCAGUUCUGGCGCCCAUCUCCCGGCGGCCAGGCCGCCGGUAGAUACUUUCGUCGGCCUGGCCGCCGGAAUCUUACACUUGUCCGCCUGCAUAAUUUUCCCUCGUAAAUGAGAGAAAAUUUCUGGCGGCCAGGCCGACGGAAUAUUUUUUUGUAAAAAAUUCCAGCGGCCUGGCCGCCAGCUCCAAUUCAACAACAGUCGGGAGAAAAAUUCCCGGCGGCCUGGCCGCUGGAUACUAAAACCCUCAACGGUCGGGAGAAAAAUUCCCGGCGGCGUGGCCGCUGGCAUACUAAAACCCUCAACGGUCGGGAGAAAAAUUCCCGGCGGCCUGGCCGCUGGAUACUAAAACCCUCAACGGUCGGGAGAAAAAUUCCCGGCGGCCUGGCCGCUGGCAUACUAAAACCCUCAACGGUCGGGAGAAAAAUUCCCGGCGGCCUGGCCGCUGGAUAAUUUUUCCCGCUUGUUUUUUUAGUAGCCAGCGGCCUGGCCGCCAGAAAUUUUUGGAAAACCCUAAAUUUACAACUUGCGCCGCCGUGGUCCCCCGUACAGUCAAACUCAGUCAAACUAAACUUAAGUAUUUCCCGGCGGCCAGGCCGCCGGUAAUUUUUUAUAUAAGAAAAAAAUUUCCAGAUUCUUUCAUUUCCCCCCAAAUCGUCUCCACUUCUCCCCACUCCUCUCUAACCCUCUUCAAAACCCUCCGGCGAUCUUCUAGUCCGUCCUCCGGCCAUUUCUCUCCGGUCAUCCUCGAAGGUCAUCCUCAAGGUAUGUUCUUCAUUUCAUUUAAUCUUUCUUUUUAAUCUUUCUUUGUCAUUUUGGGAUUUGGGGUUUGGGGUUUCUUUGUUUUUUUUAGGAUUUGCUGGUUUGGGGUUUGGGGUUUCUUGCUUGUUCCUGUUUUCUAUUGUUCACCAUUAACUAACAUUCACCAUUAACAACAGUUCUAAAACAACAGUUCACCUAUUUUCUGUUUUCUUUUGCUUGUUCUUGCUCGUUCCGUUCCAAUCUCCCAAUCUCCACGCAUAUUCUAAAACAACAGUUCUCUGUUUUAACUGAAAAUAUUAUUAGAGAUUACAGUUUGGAUAUAUAGGUUUGAACAAAGUUUGGAUAUACAAAUAGAUUUAAUUCAGAUAGAAUUCAGAUUCAUACAGUUUAACAAAUAUAAGUUUAAUACACGUUGAUUGAUGAAUUUAGAAAUACAGAUUCAUACAUUUUUUUCCUUUCUAGAUUUUUAAUCAAUUGUUUGUAACAGUAGUUAAUUCUGAAAUAAUGAUUCAUUUUUAACAUCUAAUUAGGUCAGGUAAUCAUUCAAAUUAAGAAUAUAAGUUCGUUGCUUUUUGUUUUCCUUAAAUUUGAGCUUAGUACUCUAUCCAUCUAUUCACUCGACCUAAUGGUAAAUGCAAAUUUUUUACCUUUACUAAAAUGAAAACAAAAAUUUAAAUAGUUGGAAUGUGUACUGAUUUUUCUUUGAUGCUUCUAUAUAACUUGUAUUUACCAUUCUUAUUGUUCUGUACACUUCUAUAUAUAGGUUGAAGCCUUCGAUCUUCUAAUCCGGCCGGCCACUUCUCUCCGGUCAUUGUCGAAAUUAUCUUCAAGGUAUGGUUUACAUUAUUUUCAUCUUGUUCUCUUAUUUUUUUGUUGUUUUUGAUUGGGUGGUUUAUGAUUUGGUGGUUUUUUAUAUGGGGUUACUUUCCAAUUUUAAAUCAAACUUUUCAUGCAUUGUGAUUUGUCUUUUGAUUUGUGAUUUGGGGGUUAAUGAUUUGUGAUUAUUUUUUGUUUGCUGGAAUAUGAAUUUAAGGGUUAAUGUAUGGUUGUUGGAAUUAUAAUUUGAAGAUAAUGGUUGCUGGAAUUUUUAUUUGUUUUUUGUUGCUGGAAUUUUUUUUUAAUUUUGUUACUGGAAUUUUAAUUUAAUGGUUAAUAUGGAUGCUGGAAUUUAAAUUAAAAGUAAAUUUUUGUUGGAAAUUUUUUUUUAGGGUUGCUGGAAUUUGAAGAAUUUUUGUUGCGGAUAAUUCGAAAUCAUUUGCGGUUCAUCAAUGUAAUAAUUUAUGAAUUUUAAAUUUUUGGCAUUAAAUUUGCGGACAUUAGUUCAAUUGAUAAUGUUAGACAUUAAAAAAUGAAAUGCAUGUUUAGAAAUUAGGGUUAAGGUUAGGAUUGUAGAUUAGAAUGCCAUGUUUAGAAAUGAAAUGCAUGUUUAGAAAUGCCAUGUUUAGAAAUGCCAUAUUUAGAAAUGCCAUGUUUAGAAAUGCCAUAUUGAAUAAUGUGAUUGUAAUUUUCUAUGUGAUUGUAAUGUUUAGAAAUACCAUGUUAGGGUUAGGGUUAGGAUGGUAAUGUUUAGAAAUGUCAUGUUAGGGUUAGGUUUGGAUGGUAAUGUUUUUAUUUAAUUAAUAAUUAAAUAAAUAAUUAUUUAAUUAAAUUUAAAUAAUUAAUUAAUUAAGUAAUAAUUAAAAAAAAGUAACAAUCAGAUUUUGUAAGUGUGAUUGUUAGUUAGUUUUUCAAUAAUUGUUGAUUAAUCAAUUAUUAAUUAUUAAUUAAUUAUUUAUUUAAUUAACUAAUAAUUAAUAAUUAAUUAAAAAAAUAUUGAAAAUCCAUAAAUCAGUUUUUAUAUUAAGAACUUGAUUUAAAAUCCAAUGUUGAAAACAAUUAUUUAAAAAUUAAAAUCAUUUAUUUAAUUAAUAAUUAAAUAAAUAAUUAUUUAAUUAAAUUUAAAUAAUUAUUUAAUUAAUUAAUAAUUAAAAAAAAGUAACAAUCAGAUUUUGUAAGUGUGAUUGUUAGUUAGUUUUUCAAUAAUUGUUAAUUAAUCAAUUAUUAAUUAUUAAUUAAUUAUUUAUUUAAUUAACUAAUAAUUAAUAAUUAAUUAAGAAAAUAUUGGAAAAUCCAUAAAUCAGUUUUUAUAUUAAGAACUUGAUUUAAAAUCCAAUGUUGAAAACAAUUAUUUAAAAAUUAAAAUCAUUUAUUUAAUUAAUAAUUAAAUAAAUAAUUAUUUAAUUAAAUUUAAAUAAUUAUUUAAUUAAUUAAUAAUUAAUUAUUUCCCAAAAAUUAUUUCCCAAAAAUAACUGCCAGCGGCCUGGCCGCCGGAAAAUUAUUUUCCAAAAAUAACAGCCGGCGGCCAGGCCGCCGGGAUAUAAUUUUCAAAAAAAAAAAGUCGGCGACUAAGCCGCCGGGACAAUUUCUGUUAAAAUCGGAAUCCAAAUUUUUUUGCCGUCGGCCAAGCCGCCAGGAUUUCACAAUUCCGGCGACAUCACUUCCGGCGAUGGAAUGUCGUCGGCUUGGCCGCCAGGAACCAUUAUACCGGCGGCCAGGCCGCCGGAAUUUGCCGCCAGAACUGCGCUGGUUUUUUGUAGUGUCUUCUUUUUUCUAUCCCCAAUCCUUAUCUAUUCAUGUAAUCAAUUCUUGAACAUGAAUGGUAUGGAAUUUAUUUGAUUCUACACGAUUGGAAUUAUUUUACAGUAUAGUAAUGCUAGAGGGCGAUCCAGAGGUCCUUGAGGGCGAUGAUGUUGAUCUGGAUGUUCGACGACCCGGAGUAAUAGGCAUGGGCUCCGAUGAAUCAGCGACAACCCCGUUGUCUGUCUCAUCAUCGCUAAUGACAAUGACUUCAUUGAGGUUACUCCUCCUCUUCCUUACAUGGUUGUUUUCCG
rnacentral:lncRNA from 1 species